CAGCCAUGAGCAGGUGAUCACACACACACACACACACACAUACACACACACACACGCACACACACACAGCCAGGAGCAGGUGAUCCACACACCCACACACGCACACACACACAGCCAGGAGCAGGUGAUCCACACACACCCACACACGCACACACACACAGCCAUGAGCAGGUGAUCACACACACACACACAUACACACACACCCGCACACGCACACACACACAGCCUGGAGCAGGUGAUCCACACACACACACACACACAGACACACACACACACACACACACGCACGCACACACACGCACGCACACACA
ensembl:lncRNA